GACUGCAGGCUGCAACUCGCCUGCACGAAGUCGGAAUUGCUAGUAAUCGUAGGUCAGCAUACUACGGUGAAUACGUUCCCGGGCCUUGUACACACCGCCCGUCACACCAUGGGAGCCGGUAAUACCCGAAGUCAGUAGCCUAACCGCAAGGGGGGCGCUGCCGAAGGUAGGAUUGGCGACUGGGGUGAAGUCGUAACAAGGUACC
rnacentral:rRNA from 1 species